UGUCGCAUAAGCUCAACAGCCUCCAUUCAGCUGUUGAGAAAGAGCCACGAUGAACUUACAAUGGCACCUCAGCUUUGCCUUAAUGUGCUUGUAUGUGUGGGGUGGGAUAUUUCAGCCGGAUCACCUCACUGAAAAGUGGAACAAUUGUGAAGGACACUUUUACAAGGGAUGGACCCAUCUUCGACCACUUCUUAAAAAAGCUUCUGUGGACUUAUUUUGUAGAUGUAAUGAAAAGAAAUGUAUUUCCAUUGCUAUUUUUCCAACCUUAAAAUAUGUGCCAGUUUUUUGGGCAUAUAAAAUAAGACAUACUGGAGUCCCUGAUUUGUCAGAGCAUGAUCUCUUGAAGAAUAUCACAACUUGGUACAUAUCACCAUCGGUUGUUGAGGAUAUGCUCAGAGGAAAGUUGCAUUCAUUCCCUCCUCAAGUGACCUCGAGACCCUCCCCAUCAACAACACAUAUUUUAAGUGGUGUGUUUCAUCUCAGUGAGAAAUACAUUCACAAAGAGGGAAACUGGCACUACACAGGCUACAUUCGCUGGACCAUGUAUCACCACACAAAUGUUAAAGGGCUAAGUUUUGAAGGAGCUCUUGUCCAAAACAGUCAGGAGAAAUGUAAGUGGAAAUGGCUGACAGUGAAGCAACUUGUCGGGAUUCUUUCUAAAGUCUUUUUAGCCAACCCCAUGCAAACCUUCUUCAAUCAUCAAAUCACAGGACCUUUAAACCUGAACGGCUUAGAUGAAUUUCCAGACAGCUUUUCCGUAGGGGAAAAGAUAGAGGACCUCCUAGACACCGCAAUGCCAUGUGUGACGACAACAACAAUGGAAGUCAAAGAAGCAGAACGUGACUUUUCCAAAUUCACAACAAGCAGCAACCCCCCCCUAACUUCAGAUAUGAUUGCAGGCCUGUGCUCUGUGCUCAUUCACCGUACUAGCACUGGUUUGAAGAGAUGCCUUAAGAGGAUGAUAGAAAAAGAAAACUACACCACUACUAUUCAACGCUCUCGUAUUUCUCUGCUAGCAACAAACCAUGUAAUGCCAGAUCGGAAAUCCAAAAACAGAGCCCUCUUAAACUAAAUGAAAUCAUUAAUCACAGUAAAAAUACAUCACAUAUUAGAGGCAAAACAUUUUAUAGUGAAGGACAGUUUCACCAAAAGAAACUUUCUGAAAAUAUUUUUGCUCUGUUCAAUUCUGUAUUUAUUUACAGUAGCCUAUAUUAUUUAUUUGACCAGUUGCUUAUAUGAAAGCCAUUUGGUAAAUGUUUUUAAUUUUGCCUUGCUUAUAAAUCAGUGUUCAUUGCCUUGUAAAUAAAUAUAUCUAAACAUCCUUAAAACA
ensembl:lncRNA